rnacentral:lncRNA from 1 species
UUGAAGCAGCCCCCGGACACACCGCGGAGGAGCUGGAGGAGCAGUUGUCUGAUUUGUUUGAAGGUUAGAAGACAAUGGUAGGAGCUGAAAUCGUCUGGACAAAGGAAAGGAGUACAGUACAGCGAAACAGAGUGACCACCCUGUUUUUCAGAAAAAGAGACUGCCUUCAGUUUCUUUGGUCUGCCGAGAAAAGGCAGCAUUUCGACCGGCAAGGCGGCAGCCAACAAAAGCGGGAAUACUAUACAUCGCUCGGACGGCGUCAGCUCGUCCUCUCAUUCAUUUUGAAAUACUAAAUUUAUUUUUCUCAUAAGAUUUACAUCUGAUUUUUUUAUCCAUUUGAACCUUUUAUGUUGCCUAAAAUUAAGGCAACAAAAUAAUUUCAAACAUGAAUACAUUUAUUUUUUUUAAAUAUUCGAUAUUUUUUGUCAUGAAGUUUAAAAAUUUAUUCUCAUGAAGCUAGAUAUUUUUUCUAAUAUGGAACAAUUAUCUUGCAAAGUUAGAACAAUAUUUUCUUUUGCUAAACUUGGAAUAAUUUUCUCGUAAGACUAGAACAUUGUCCCACUCAUUAAAAAUUCCAGCUUUAUAAAACAAUGCUCUUCCAAAAAAAUGGUAUUCAACAUAUUUAAGUGUGUCCUUAUUUUAAAGAUCUUAUGGUAAGAAACAUAAUGAUGAAAUUGGAUUUAAUAUUUUAAUUAUUUUUAAACGGACGAUAUUAAUUCAAAUUAUGUUGGUUCCUCAGUUUGAAAUUAUGUUGCAUGCGUGAAUCUAGCUAGGUGGGUUACUUUUUCGUUCCGUGGAUCAUACUAGAUACCAUGAGAAGGUGAAUGAUGAACUAAUUAGCCAUGUCAUCGUACAAUGAAAAGAAAACGACUCGGACGCGGAUCAGUAGUAUCCACACGACAGAUAAUGACGAAUCAAGGAGGGGAAGAAGGAGGAGGAGGAGAAGAAGGUUUCAGCUCCUUAGCUCUUGGUUGGAUCCGCCCGUAAGCAGCCACUUAUUCAUCAUAUGCAGUACGUAUAAUAUUGAGCUGGGCUAAACAGUCGGUCCAUACGAUGUAUAUAUCAAAAUUUAUGAACAUAGAAAAGCUAAAACCACUAAUAAUUUAGGGUGGAUGGAGCUAGUGAUUUUUUAUUUAAGCCGAGGUUAUGUUGUGUGUGCAUGCAUCUGCACCACCAGCAAUAUUUGCGUAUACAAUAACACGUUUACCGGGUCGCAAACGAAGCCUUUGGGAACGGCCAGGUUGAACGUUCUGACGAACGCCUCGAACACCACCGCAACGCCCUCGGGGGUGUCGUCUACGAUACCGAUGGAGCCUGCGACGACAAGGCAGACGCACUGGGCGACCUCUACCGGCUUCAGUCCACGGACUGCGGCCUGUAUGGUCCCAGGGGCCAGCGGGAUACCUGAGAGGAAAUCGGAUGCUGCACUAAUGCACCUCUUGAUGUCUGGAUUAUUCUCCGUCGUCGUCUCCGUCUCCGGCGGCGUCUGGGCCAGGGCGCAAACCGUCGCGGCCAGGAGAGCCGUGCCGAGGAGGAGCAGGGAAGUAGCGGAUGGCUUCGAGGCCAUUUCGGUAGCUCUGCUGGACUGCUGGUGUAGGGGCUGUACGCUCAAUUACUCGGCCCUUCUGUCAAGUGUCAACCAUCCAUGCGUGCUACUUAUAUAUAGGCGCGCGCUCGAUAAUGGUCAUCUGCUGGCGAACCUAGAGCAUAUGCA